ACGAGCUGCUUUCACAAAUUAUUUCGACAAAAGCGAAGAGCGCGAAGCCGGGUGCGGCUACACGCCAGUGUGGACGGACCGCCGCUGGAGUACGGAACACGCGGAGCGCAGUUUUUGCGGGGACGGGUCCGUGCAGAAACGACCGUGACGUAUCGGCCAUUCCCGAGCGCUGCUAUCCUCGUUCCCGGCCGAGUAGCUCCCUUUUGAGCCUGCUUUCAGAUCGACGGAUCUGACGCAACAGAUCAUAAGCAAAUUUUAAGAUAUGUUGCACGUGGCACAAUUUAAAUACGCUUAUUUUUGUAGAAGCUUUUGAUACCAGGAUCCGUUUGAAACGCGUAGAAUUGGACUUUUCGAAGGUACCAAGAGUAUCGAGAAAAGUAUAUAAACUGUUGAUUAUGAAAAUACAAAUGCUUCAUGCUUAAUGCGCAAAAUAACGUACGAUAUAAUAUUAGAUAUAUUUUGUAUAACAAAAUAUAGAUUAUAACUUUUUACGUUAGACUAACAAAUAUGUCCCAUAGUAGUAAAUGGAGAAAUAAAAGAAGGAAAAUGGUAAUUAUUUCGUGUUUCAAAUAUUUUAUUGUAAAACACUGUAAAAAAAUGUAAAUGUAAAAAAUACACACGUUGUAAAAAGCUUUAUGUAUGUUUAAUAAUACAACCAUUAUCAAUUAUAAAGGAAUUUUAUAAAUUAAA